rnacentral:rRNA from 1 species
GAUGAACGCUAGCUACAGGCUUAACACACGCAAGUCGAGGGGAAACGAUAUUGGAAGCUUGCUUCCGAUAGGCGUCGACCGGCGCACGGGUGAGUAACGCGUAUCCAACCUGCCCACCACUUGGGGAUAACCUUGCGAAAGUAAGACUAAUACCCAAUGACGUCCAUAGAAGACAUCUGAAAUGGAUUAAAGAUUUAUCGGUGAUGGAUGGGGAUGUGUCUGAUUAGCUUGUUGGCGGGGUAACGGCCCACCAAGGCGACGAUCAGUAGGGGUUCUGAGAGGAAGGUCCCCCACAGUGGAACUGAGACACGGUCCAAACUCCUACGGGAGGCAGCAGUGAGGAAUAUUGGUCAAUGGGCGAGAGCCUGAACCAGCCAAGUAGCGUGCAGGAUGACGGCCCUAUGGGUUGUAAACUGCUUUUAUAAGGGAAUAAAGUGAGCCUCGUGAGGCUUUUUGCAUGUACCUUAUGAAUAAGGACCGGCUAAUUCCGUGCCAGCCGCCGCCGUAA